AAACACCACGCCUCUCUUCAUUUUUUUUUCUUCAGUAUCUGCACACACAUUUGUUCUCUCUCCCUCCAAAAUCGCGUGGAUCUCUACAGAAAUUUACAUCCGGUUUUAUUUCCCUCGCGCAUUCUUUCUCCGUCGAAGCCUCUUACCAGAUCGCCGCACCGAUCCAUCUCCUCAAUCUACAUCGGUAAUCGAUCGUAAUUCCUAACAGUAGAAAGAUCUAGGGUUCCUGCUGAAUCAGCAGCUGGCUCCAGCACAUUUGUUUCAUUCCGAUAUAGAAUCUGGUUGGCGCACGCAGUUUCGAUUCGAAGGCAUUGAAAUUCAGCUCGCUCAAGCAGGUUUCGCUUUGUUCUUUGCGUGGUUCGGUUCGUGAAUGAGAGAUAAGGUCACGGUUUCGAUUAGAUGAGCAUGGAGGUCGUUAGCGAUACGGCGUCGUUGGAUGUCGACUUGUUGCAGCUCCCUGAGGUGUCCUCUUUGGCACUCAAAUCUAACCUAAGUUUCGUUGAGACGCUCUUCGAGCAGUGGCUUUCGCUUCCUGAAAGUCAUCGAUUGGUAACAUCGUUGCUAAAUGAAGCAAAGUCAGGUGCUCCCUUGAAUGUACCAGGGAAUUGCUCUAGUCCGAAUUCUUCAAGCAAUUCUUUGCCCUCCAUGUUUCCCGCUGGCACUGCACCGCCUCUUUCGCCAAGAAGUUCAUCUGGCUCCCCUCGCAUAGUGAAACAUAGAGUUGGCCCUUCUAACUUGGGUUCUCCUUUGAAGGUUGUCAGUGAGCCAGUAAAAGAAUUGAUUCCUCAGUUCUACUUUCAAUUUGGGCGUCCUCCUCCAAAUGAACUGAAAGAACAAUGCCUUGUUAGAAUUGACCAUUUAUUUCAUGAUCACAUGGAUGGUCUGCAGAUACAUGAAUUCAAGACAAUUACUAAGGAAGUAUGCAAGCUGCCAUCUUUCUUUUCCACAUCUCUCUUUAGAAAGAUUGACGAUGGAACAGGAUUUGUGACAAGGAAAUCAUUUAUUGAUUAUUGGGUCAACGGAAACAUGUUGACAAAAGAUAUAGCGACCCAAAUAUUCACAAUUUUAAAGCAACCACAGCUCAAAUACCUUACUCAGGAUGAUUUUAAACCUGUGCUACGUGAACUUUUGGCAACUCAUCCAGGAUUGGAGUUUCUGCAGAGCACACCUGAGUUUCAAGAGAGAUACGCUGAAACUGUCAUAUACAGAAUAUAUUACUACAUUAAUAGAUCAGGAAAUGGUCGUCUCACCCUGAGGGAGCUGAAGCGUGGAAACAUAAUUGAUGCAAUGCAGCAUGCUGAUGAAGAAGAGGACAUAAACAAGGUUUUGAGGUACUUUUCUUAUGAGCAUUUUUAUGUCAUAUACUGCAAGUUUUGGGAGCUGGAUACAGAUCAUGAUUUCUUGAUAGACAAAGAGAAUCUUAUCAGAUAUGGUAACCAUGCGCUUACCUAUCGAAUUGUUGAUAGAAUAUUUUCCCAGGUUCCUAGAAGAUUUACCAGUAAGGUUGAGGGAAAGAUGGGUUAUGAAGAUUUUGUUUACUUCAUACUGUCAGAAGAGGAUAAAUCAUCUGAGCCAAGUCUUGAAUAUUGGUUUAAGUGCAUUGAUUUGGAUGGAAAUGGAGUUUUGACACGGAAUGAACUGCAAUUUUUUUAUGAGGAGCAAUUGCAUCGAAUGGAGUGCAUGGCCCAAGAACCUGUGCUAUUUGAGGAUAUACUGUGCCAGAUUAUUGACAUGGUUGGACCUGAGGAUGAGAGCUAUAUAACUCUGCGAGACUUGAAAGGCGGUAAACUCUCAGGAAGUGUUUUCAAUAUCCUGUUCAAUCUGAAUAAGUUCAUGGCCUUUGAAACUCGUGACCCAUUUUUGAUUCGUCAGGAACGUGAGAAUCCUACAUUGACAGAGUGGGAUCGCUUUGCUCAUAGAGAAUAUAUAAGGCUUUCAAUGGAAGAAGACGUAGAGGAUGCAUCCAAUGGUAGUGCAGAAGUUUGGGAUGAAUCACUAGAGGCUCCUUUCUGACAUCAUUUAUGUAAGUUUAACUAUGAUAAUACUUAUCCAAUUUAUCUUGCAUUUUUAAUAUAAUUUGGAAAAAGGGGUCUAUUCAAAUCAGAUUGGGCUAAAUACGGAUCAGGGCAGCACUAAGCUAGACUGGUCUUAAGCAGGUUGCAGGCAUUCGAAGCCAGCAAAUCAAAAUUAUCAUUCUCUUUCAAUUUAAUUACUUUUGCACAUGCAGAGCAUUUUCAGUGGCAUUCUCGCAGUAGAGAUUUAGAAAUUUCAAUGACGGGGGCAUAAUUGUUUUACAAUGCUCUGUAUUAGGAUUUGGACAUGGAAGCUUGCAUUCACCGUGCAGCUUGCCUCGUGAUCAAUUGAUUGUGUUAUUAUCAAUUGGGGUAUUACCGCAUUAACUAUCGUGAGAAAAUGUUUUAUUGUGAGAAUAAGAGGGUUCAAUAAUAACCGUUGGAUUAAAAUAAACUGUCAAUAUAAAAUCUAACGUGACUAUGCAUUCUAUUCUUUCAUUCACUUUCUCGUGUGUCUCUUCAUCUCCUAUUUUUUUUUCUUUCCAAAAUCGUCAUUUUCUCUAUCCAUUUCUAUGUCCAACUGACUUCAACAAUCACUCUCGUCUCAAAUGUUUGAUGAAUUUAAACAUGAAUAUCACAUGAAAUAAAAAAACGAGAUGAAGGGAACGCAAGUUCAUCGCCGUGUCCAAUACUAGUGACAUGUUGUAUGGCUUCAAAUGGAAUGUUCAGGGGCUACGCCAUGGAUUCAUGUCGCUUUUACUUUUUAAAUAAAAAAGCAUUUCAUUAAACAUUGGAGUGCUUGAAGGAAGUCAGAGGGCAGAGGAAUUGGUGGUUUUGUAAAGAGUGACGGGAUACACGAGCAAGAGUGCGCGUGGGAGAGUAGAAUAAAUACAGACACGACUCAAGUUCAGCUUUGAACGCCAACGUUGCCCCCAAAGGGGAGGAAUUCCAAGCUUCUGCUAUGGAAUAUGUUUGGAUGGGGGCCAAUCAGCAACAACGAUAUUCAGACUCGCAUAUGAUAAAUAUUGGGAUCUUGGAAGUUUUGUCGCUGGACCAAAGUCCAUGUAAAGUGAGGAGCUUUGCUGAGGUGAUUAGCCAAGUUGAAUUAAAUUGACGUCAUUUUUAGACGCUUACCAUAAGUAGCGAGAUUUCUGAUGGAUUUUUAGUAAUUUGAUUUACUGAUCGAGUCACUUUUACCUCGGAUCUGUACAAGAGUACAUUCCUGAUUUGUUUCGUCAAUUAUGGCCCAGGCUGUUAUUUGUUUUUACCGAAUUUCUUUUUCUUUUUAGGCUACUGAAGAGUUUAAAGAAAACUACACAAAAAAGGUCAUGUAUUUUCUGCGUUAUUCGAUUUGUCUGAUGCAUGCAGAGGCUGUACAUUGGAUUUGCUCUAUCUACUAUUUAGAGGAAACUUCAGUUCACUUCUAUCCAAUUUGACUGAUAUUACUACAC